rnacentral:rRNA from 1 species
AGAACGAACGCUGGCGGCAGGCUUAACACAUGCAAGUCGAACGGGUGUAGCAAUACAUCAGUGGCAGACGGGUGAGUAACACGUGGGAACCUUCCUAGGGGUACGGAACAACUCAGGGAAACUUGAGCUAAUACCGUAUACGUCCGUAAGGAGAAAGAUUCAUCGCCCCUAGACGGGCCCGCGUCGGAUUAGGUAGUUGGUGGGGUAACGGCCUACCAAGCCUACGAUCCGUAGCUGAUCUGAGAGGAUGAUCAGCCACACUGGGACUGAGACACGGCCCAGACUCCUACGGGAGGCAGCAGUGGGGAAUCUUGGACAAUGGGCGCAAGCCUGAUCCAGCCAUGCCGCGUGAGUGAAGAAGGCCUUAGGGUUGUAAAGCUCUUUUACCAGGGACGAUAAUGACGGUACCUGGAGAAUAAGCCCCGGCAAACUUCGUGCCAGCAGCCGC